GACGAACGCUGGCGGCGUGCUUAACACAUGCAAGUCGAACGAAGUGGCGAACGGGUGAGUAACGCGUAAUCAACCUGCCCUUCAGAGGGGGACAACAGGUGGAAACGACUGCUAAUACCGCAUACUGAAGGAGGGGAGUGCGUCUGAUUAGCUAGUUGGCGGGGUAACGGCCCACCAAGGCGAGGAUCAGUAGCCGGUCUGAGGGGAUGAACGGCCACAUGGGGACUGGGACCCGGCCCCGACUCCUACGGGAGGCAGCAGUGGGGAAUCUUCCGCCAUGGACGAAAGUCUGACGGAGCAACGCCGCGUGAGUGAUGACGGCCUUCGGGUUGUAAAGCUCUGUUAAUCGGGACGCGGUACCGGAAUAGAAAGCCACGGCUAACUACGUGCCAGCAGCCGCGGUAAUAC
rnacentral:rRNA from 1 species